rnacentral:rRNA from 1 species
GACGAACGCUGGCGGCGUGCUUAACACAUGCAAGUCGAACGGAAAGGCCCUGCUUUUGUGGGGUGCUCGAGUGGCGAACGGGUGAGUAACACGUGAGUAACCUGCCCUUGACUUUGGGAUAACUUCAGGAAACUGGGGCUAAUACCGGAUAGGAGCUCCUGCUGCAUGGUGGGGGUUGGAAAGUUUCGGCGGUUGGGGAUGGACUCGCGGCUUAUCAGCUUGUUGGUGGGGUAGUGGCUUACCAAGGCUUUGACGGGUAGCCGGCCUGGGAGGGUGACCGGCCACAUUGGGACUGAGAUACGGCCCAGACUCCUACGGGAGGCAGCAGUGGGGAAUAUUGCACGAUGGGCGGAAGCCUGAUGCAGCAACGCCGCGUGCGGGAUGACGGCCUUCGGGUUGUAAACCGCUUUCGCCUGUGACGAAGCGUGAGUGACGGUAAUGGGUAAAGAAGCACCGGCUAACUACGUG